AACGAAGCCAUCAGUCUGAGGGCUGCGUCUGGUUUGCCCCGGAUUCUGGGGACUCCUUGAGCCUCGAGAUUUCAUCUUCUCUGACACUGGCUCUGUCAAGCCCACCGUUUUCCCAAGAGCAGGCAGAGAUGUGCGUGGUGGGGAGGGCCGGUGAGGAGCUUACAGGUGGCCCCCCGAGGUGGGACUAACACGUGGAAGGAUUCCCAUCCUUCUAGGUAAUGUCAAGCCCCCAAGAAACAGAGAUCACACAGUCUCCAAGUUCUGACAUGGCUGCCUGUCUUUUUUUUUUUUUUUUAAGAUUUUAUUUAUUUAUUUGACAGACAGAGAUCACAAGCAGGCAGAGAGAGAGGAGAAAGCAGGCUCCCCGCAGAGCAGAGAGCCCGAUGUGGGGCUCGAUCCCAGGACGCUGGAUCAUGACCCGAGCCGAAGGUGUGGACUCACACCACCACGGUAAACAGGAUGAUGUGGGUCACACUCCACAAAACGGCCCAAACCAAGGUAGGUCGCACAACAAGAAAGCAAUAGCCUACUCAUUUUUUUUUUUUUUCA
rnacentral:lncRNA from 1 species